rnacentral:rRNA from 1 species
AUUGAACGCUGGCGGCAGGCCUAACACAUGCAAGUCGAGCGGAUGAAGAGGGCUUGCUCUCUGAUUUAGCGGCGGACGGGUGAGUAAUGCCUAGGAACCUGCCUGGUAGUGGGGGAUAACGUUCCGAAAGGAACGCUAAUACCGCAUACGUCCUACGGGAGAAAGCAGGGGACCUUUGGGCCUUGCGCUAUCAGAUGAGCCUAGGUCGGAUUAGCUAGUUGGUGAGGUAAUGGCCCACCAAGGCGACGAUCCGUAACUGGUCUGAGAGGAUGAUCAGUCACACUGGAACUGAGACACGGUCCAGACUCCUACGGGAGGCGGCAGUGGGGAAUAUUGGACAAUGGGCGAAAGCCUGAUCCAGCCAUGCCGCGUGUGUGAAGAAGGUCUUCGGAUUGUAAAGCACUUUAAGUUGGGAGGAAGGGCAGUAAGUUAAUACCUUGCUGUUUUGACGUUACCGACAGAAUAAGCACCGGCUAACUCUGUGCCAGCCGCCGCCGUAAAAC